rnacentral:rRNA from 1 species
CGAUGGAGGGGGAUAACUACUGGAAACGGUAGCUAAUACCGCAUAACGUCGCAAGACCAAAGAGGGGGACCUUCGGGCCUCUUGCCACCGGAUGUGCCCAGAUGGGAUUAGCUAGUAGGUGGGGUAACGGCUCACCUAGGCGACGAUCCCUAGCUGGUCUGAGAGGAUGACCAGCCACACUGGAACUGAGACACGGUCCAG